CACGUAGGGGGCAAGCGUUGUUCGGAAUUAUUGGGCGUAAAGGGCAUGUAGGCGGUUUCGUAAGCCUGGUGUGAAAUCCUGCAGCUUAACUGCAGAAUUGCAUUGGGUACUGCGAGACUUGAAUCACAGAGGGGAAACUAGAAUUCCAGGUGUAGGGGUGGAAUCUGUAGAUAUCUGGAAGAAUACCGGUGGCGAAGGCGGGUUUCUAGCUGAUGAUUGACGCUGAGGUGCGAAAGUGCGGGGAGCAAACAGGAUUAGAUACC
rnacentral:rRNA from 1 species